CCCUUCCGAGGCGGUUGAGCGGGAUCGCCCGGCUCCAAGGGCCAGCAGCUCCCGCAGGUGGCCUGACCUGCCAGAAGUUCCAGAAACAGAUUCUCAGGAUGCCAGCUGUCCCUCUCAGCCUAACCUGCACAUUUGCACAGCUGAGUCUACAGACAGGUAGGCUAUGUGACAUUAUGCACAACCCUGAUGUCACAGGUCAUGGUUGUUCUGCCUCUCCCACUUUCUACCAUGGAGGGAACUGACAGCUGAUUAUUGCCAUACAAAUCAUCUAACUGUUUUCAGGCAGCCUGAGCAGACAUUAAGCUUUUGGUCUGGCUCUCUCCCAACCAGAUCCCAGAAUCCUGUCCACAGCCUUGUCCUGACAAAACUUUCAAGCACUUUCUUGUUUUGUUUAAUAACCUUUAUUCCAAAAUAAAAUCUUAUGUAACA